rnacentral:rRNA from 1 species
GAGGCAGCAGUGGGGAAUAUUGCACAAUGGGGGGAACCCUGAUGCAGCCAUGCCGCGUGUGAAGAAGGCCUUCGGGUUGUAAAGCACUUUCAGCAGUGAGGAAGAGGUGGUGUUUAAUAGAUGCCGUCUUUGACGUUAGCUGCAGAAGAAGCACCGGCUAACUCCGUGCCAGCAGCCGCGGUAAUACGGAGGGUGCGAGCGUUAAUCGGGAUUACUGGGCGUAAAGCGCAUGCAGGCGGCGUGUUAAGCCAGAUGUGAAAGCCCGGGGCUCAACCUCGGAAUCGCAUUUGGAACUGGCAGGCUAGAGUCUUGUAGAGGGGGGUAGAAUUUCAGGUGUAGCGGUGAAAUGCGUAGAGAUCUGAAGGAAUACCGGUGGCGAAGGCGGCCCCCUGGACAAAGACUGACGCUCAGAUGCGAAAGCGUGGGGAGCAAACAGGAUUAGAUACCCUGGUAGUCCACGCCGUAAACGAUGUCUACUUGGAGGUUGGUGUCUUGAACACUGGCUUUCGGAGCUAACGCGUUAAGUAGACCGCCUGGGGAGUACGGUCGCAAGAUUAAAACUCAAAUGAAUUGACGGGGGCCCGCACAAGCGGUGGAGCAUGUGGUUUAAUUCGAUGCAACGCGAAGAACCUUACCUACUCUUGACAUCCAGAGAACUUUCCAGAGAUGGAUGGGUGCCUUCGGGAACUCUGAGACAGGUGCUGCAUGGCUGUCGUCAGCUCGUGUUGUGAAAUGUUGGGUUAAGUCCCGCAACGAGCGCAACCCUUAUCCUUGUUUGCCAGCACUUCGGGUGGGAACUCCAGGGAGACUGCCGGUGAUAAACCGGAGGAAGGUGGGGACGACGUCAAGUCAUCAUGGCCCUUACGAGUAGGGCUACACACGUGCUACAAUGGCGUAUACAGAGGGCGGCGAGCUAGCGAUAGUGAGCGAAUCCCACAAAGUACGUCGUAGUCCGGAUUGGAGUCUGCAACUCGACUCCAUGAAGUCGGAAUCGCUAGUAAUCGUGGAUCAGAAUGCCACGGUGAAUACGUUCCCGGGCCUUGUACACACCGCCCGUCACACCAUGGGAGUGGGCUGCACCAGAAGUAGAUAGCUUAACCUUCGGGAGGGCGUUUACCACGGUGUGGUUCAUGACUGGGGUGAAGUCGUAACAAGGUAGCCCUAGGGGAACCUGGGGCUGGAUCACCUCCUUUA